CUGAAUUUCAGCUCCUCUUAGUGGCAGGAUGCUGGCAUUUCUGUUGGUAGCUGUUUGAUCACUGUCUACUGAGGUAACACACCCUGAUGAUGCUCACUUCAAGCUUUUUGCUUCCACGUUUGAAACAGUGAGUAAGCAUAAAUCAGCUCCAGAGGGAAAUUUCAGAGACAAGCUGUUCAUCAAGUGCAUGGAUUCAUCCAGAUGGAGUCAGAUAUUUUAAUCGAGCCUUCAAUCAAGAUGCUGUGUUUCCAGCUGAAGGUGGGAAGCAAGGGACCACACAGCUUUUUUAACUCAUGAAGAAUCUGGAUGCACAUCCCUUUGCAUUGCUUUGGCAUUUUAUUUCAUCUUUAGCUGUUGAACAGCAGGUUCUGGGCUUGCCAGUGGCCUGGUUAUUCCUAUGCUUCACUUCAGUCCUGAUUUGUGCUUCCUGUACGAAAGGGAAUAUGGAGUAUGGAUUGAUGCAGGUCUCUGCUGCCAUCAGAGCUGCCUCAUUUUUCAUAGGUGUUUUAAGACUAACCAUCCCCCUCACUGUGAUAAUGAAACCAGUCUUGUUUUCAGCACAUAAAACACGGUGUUACAUCUGGCUAGUUGAAGAGAAGAGACUUCCCUUCCAAACUCAUAGUGCCAUCCGAAGUGUGACCCUUCCCUGGAUAAAGAUUACAGCUUGCUGAGGUGAGAAAAAUUCUCUGAGACCUGAAUAUGCUUUUGGCAUACCAGGAAGCAGGAGAACAGGCUGGUUUGAAAUACAUUAAUUUUUUGUUCAUGUGAAAGAUCUUAUGGUCAAGUCAGAUUAAUAUGAUCUUAUGGUCAAAGGUAGUAAAAUAACUCAGUGGUUUGAGUGAUGGUAAACACUGAUGUCUGCAAGAGCUUGUUUUUUUCACCACCACCUGGUUUAGAAUGAUUUCAAAAAGUUUGCUUCUCCUCUAUUUUUGACCAAAAAUGAGGACUUCAGAUUUUUUUCUUGACAAAAACCUUGGACAUUUCAUCAGAAAGUUGAGCAUCUGAAAAACGCAAACCAAAAAAAAACCAAACUUGUCUUGCUACAAACUUUGUUGUUCCACAUUAACAUUUUUCAUUAAGGAAUUAAAUAUUUGUCAUGAAACACCAAAGAAACUUUCUUGGUAUGUUCAAGAAGGAGGCCUAAUACAUGGUGCAUCGUGGGAUAUGUAGUUUAAUCUGAGAGGCCAAGCCAAAUCCAAUUUUAAAAUUCUCAAGAGAUGACAAUACAGCAUUUCAAAUGAAAGCUUCUUGGGUUCUAACCUGAAAAUACUGCUCUACAGGGAUGAUAAACAAUUUCUAGGGUCAUUGGAUCAUUUUAUAAAAGAUGUAUGCUUGUAGGGAAAAUGAAAUGAACCCCUUUUUUUCUUUCUGGAUGGUAGCCUUGUGAACCCAGCUCAAGAAGGUCAGAACAAGUCCCCUUGAUUCCUUCAUUCAUCAUCUGUAAAGAAGAACUGCAACUAUGGGACAGUUGGUUAGCCUGCAGGUAAUUAACAAAUUAGAAGAGAAUCCAGCUCAAUCUUUAAUAUAGCAGUGUCAGCUUUGGUACCAGGUUUUAUCAGUAAAAUAAACAGACACAAGUGAAUUGUACA
ensembl:lncRNA